rnacentral:rRNA from 1 species
GACGAACGCUGGCGGCGUGCCUAACACAUGCAAGUCGAGCGAGAAGUCCCUUCGGGGCGAGUACAGCGGCGAACGGGUGAGUAACACGUGGGCAACCUGCCCCAAGGAGCGGGACAACCUCGGGAAACCGGGGCUAAUACCGCAUGACCCGCCACGGCUCAAGCCGUGUCGGCAAAAGGUCGCUUCGGCCUCCGCCUUGGGAUGGGCCCGCGGCGCAUUAGCUUGUUGGUGAGGGUAACGGCCCACCAAGGCGACGAUGCGUAGCUGGUCUGAGAGGACGAUCAGCCACACUGGGACUGAGACACGGCCCAGACGUCCUACGGGAGGCAGCGAGUGGGGAAUCUUGCGCGAAUGGGCGAAAGCCUGACGCAGCAACGCCGCGUGAGGGACGACGG